rnacentral:rRNA from 1 species
UACGGGGGGGGCAAGCGUUGUCCGGAAUUACUGGGCGUAAAGCGUGCGCAGGCGGUUGUGCAAGACCGAUGUGAAAUCCCCGGGCUUAACCUGGGAAUGGCAUUGGUGACUGCACGGCUAGAGUGUGUCAGAGGGGGGUAGAAUUCCACGUGUAGCAGUGAAAUGCGUAGAGAUGUGGAGGAAUACCGAUGGCGAAGGCAGCCCCCUGGGAUAACACUGACGCUCAUGCACGAAAGCGUGGGGAGCAAACAGG